rnacentral:misc_RNA from 1 species
AGCCACUGCAUUAUCAUAUCAAUUGGCAAUUACUCUAGUUUACAGUCGUUUAAACCUUCUACAAAGCAAUGAGAAAGCUAUGGUUCUUGUUUGCCUAUUUUGCUUCUGUAAGUUAAUAAAAAGAAUUAGCCAUGCAGAACCAAUAGCACCUGAACAAGAUAUUGACCACACUUAGCAUGAAAAAAAGGGCAGGAUUGGAGUGAUGCUAUUCAUUAGUUUAGCAUCUGAAUUAAUGCAAAUCAUUACUAGCAAUUAAUA